UGGCGUGUCUAGACUGGUUAUUUAGUUACGUAAAGCAGAAGCGUCUGAUAUCACCAUUUCAACAACGAAAUUUUUUGUUGCCAUUAUUGAGAUUUGACAGAUGGUAGCAAUGAAGAAGAUUAAAUAUCGUGUGUAUCAUGUAAAUUUCCCUACAAGAGUGCCAACUGUCAUCUUCCCUAAUCACAGUAUAUGCACGCCAUCGCCAGAUGAACUGAAUGUAGAAUGUAAUAUACCCAUUUACAACCAUGUUAGGUAAAAUGAGAACACUUAACAACAAAGACAGGUGUUCAUACAUUUUUGUGAUUAGCAGAAAUGUACUACGUUUGUUUAUUUUGGAUCAAGAACAACUGACUUGUUGCAUCCACUGUUGACAGGUCACAUCCGCUGUGAGCACUAUAUAUCUUGAUCAGAUCUCCUCUGAUUUACAAAGGAAAAUGAGACGAGGACUGCAUGAUACUGGAACACAUAAUGAAAUAAUUCUUGAGGACUAGUCAUGGUAUCUACCCAUGUCGAGAGUUCACUGCAGACGAUUGAUCUGUAUAACUUGUGCAGAAAUUUGUAAAUUAAAUAUUUUUAGUAAAAAAUCACAAUAAAUACAUGUUAAGAGU